rnacentral:rRNA from 1 species
UACAGAGGGUGCAAGCGUUAAUCGGAAUUACUGGGCGUAAAGCGUGCGUAGUCGGUUAUUUAAGUCGGGCGUGAAAGCCCCGGGCUCAACCUGGGAAUUGCGUUCGAUACUGGAUAGCUAGAGUUCGGCAGAGGGAAGCGGAAUUUCUGGUGUAGCGGUGAAAUGCGUAGAUAUCAGAAGGAACAUCAGUGGCGAAAGCGGCUUCCUGGACCAGAACUGAUGAUCAGGCACGAAAGCGUGGGGAGCAAACAGG